CGGCACAAGAUGUAUGCUCGUGCUCGCUGUCGCCGCAGGGGAAUCCGGUGCAAGUCCGGAACUGUCCCGCAACGGUGGACGUGUACGCAUUUGGCGUACGCGGAGUCCGAAGACCUGCCGGCAGCGCACCCGUGCC
rnacentral:ncRNA from 2 species